rnacentral:rRNA from 1 species
AUUGAACGCUGGCGGCAGGCCUAACACAUGCAAGUCGAGCGGAUGAAGGGAGCUUGCUCCUGGAUUCAGCGGCGGACGGGUGAGUAAUGCCUAGGAAUCUGCCUGGUAGUGGGGGAUAACGUCCGGAAACGGGCGCUAAUACCGCAUACGUCCUGAGGGAGAAAGUGGGGGAUCUUCGGACCUCACGCUAUCAGAUGAGCCUAGGUCGGAUUAGCUAGUUGGUGGGGUAAAGGCCUACCAAGGCGACGAUCCGUAACUGGUCUGAGAGGAUGAUCAGUCACACAGGAACUGAGACACGGUCCAGACUCCUACGGGAGGCAGCAGUGGGGAAUAGUGGACAAUGGGCGAAAGCCUGAUCCAGCCAUGCCGCGUGUGUGAAGAAGGUCUUCGGAUUGUAAAGCACUUUAAGUUGGGAGGAAGGGCAGUAAGUUAAUACCUUGCUGUUUUGACGUUACCAACAGAAUAAGCACCGGCUAACUUCGU